rnacentral:lncRNA from 1 species
UAAAUCACUUAAACUCCUAUAUGAUAGCAUGAACAAAAAACAACUAAGUUCAGAUAAACAAUAAUAAAGGUAAACUGACCAGAUUGAUUUGUUUUUGAAACACAGAAGAUAUUUUACCUCUACUUAUAUUUGGCACAUUUACUUUUGUGCGCAUAAAGUAUCCUACAUUAGCACAGUUUACCUUGGAUGUAAAUGAUAAAGGAAAUACUACUGAAAAAAAUGUUCUAGUACUUUCACCACAGGAGCUAGAAUAAUGAACUUAUUUCACUUCAGUUUAGCCAUAUUUUGCGCUCAACUAGCUAUAUUCCAGUGUUCCACAGUGUAUAGAACAGCAAUGCGAACCAGCCACAAUAAUUAGCUACCACAUUGAGCCAUUGACUACUUACAUGUCGUGUUUAUGUCAAAAUGAACUUAAGGUUCCAAUAAACCAUGUCACUGCACUACUCAAUGAGUGGUACUUAUUGAUCAGAAAUGUUUUACACGUUGCUCAAAAAAUUAGAGAUGCCUAACUGUUUAAUGGACCUACAUGUUUACAUAAUUUUAAGUGCAAACCUUCACAAUUCAAGAAAGAUAUAAUGUCCUGAACUCACACACAUCACAGAACCAACAAAAUGGCUAGGUAUUAUCCAAAUUGGUCAGAUUUAAAAGAGUAAUAUCUAUUAACUUCAAUUCAGCAGACAGAAAACCAUGCAAAUGCAUGACAUCCACCGAAUGGACUUACAUAGGCAUGUCUGAUAUAUGUCCUCUCAAGAGAGUUAUUAAUCUUCUGCUACAUCCUCCUAUCGAUUUUAGUAUCAUUGAAUUGGCCAUUACACAAACUAGACUACCCAACCACCAAGCAUAUGCUAAACACAUACCCGACUAGUCACCAUGCCUAUAAGCUCAUGAGGAUAGUGGGGUAUCAUCCUACUUGUGCCCUUCUAGAUAGCUUACCUGUUGGAGGAGGAAGAAUAUAUACUUUUAAGCAUUAUACAAAGGUUCUUCAAUAAGCAUGAAAUGCACUACGAAAAAGAAUUGAGCCAUCUUAUAUUUAACCAGAGUGAUGCACAAAUGUAAAAGGCUAAAAAAUAAUCAUUGUUAUUAUGAAUUCUCUUACAAACCGCUGGAAAUAAAGGAAAGCUAUAACAAUAGCCAUGUAGGCAUGAAGGAUUUGUUCC